CUACAUCCCGAGCCCUUUUUAUUUUCUAUUUUGAGACAGGGUUUUGCUAAGUUUUUGAGGCUGGCCUCUAACUUGUGAUCCUUCUGCCAAAGCCUCCUGAGUCACUGGGAUGUCAAGUAUGAGCCACAAUUCCGGCAGAGUAUCAUUAUAUUAUGACUGUAUAUAUCAUCACAUUAACUUGGAAUAGUUUAGAGAGCCUCUAUAGGAACUGGGUAGGGGGUAUCAAAACAAUAUCCAAGGGGGUAUAUACAGGAAAAAAAGGGACGUUUUCCUUCCUUUUGCCCCAGAGUUGAGGGAAUAACUAGAGGAACGAUGGAUUUUCUACGGGUUUGUGAACCAGCAAGGCUCAAUUGGAACAAAACAUUUUGUCUAGAAUUCAUUCAUUUGUGAAAUAUAUAGUACCUACUACAUUCCCCAAACCAUGAUAAGCCCUGCAGAAAUGCAGGCCUGGUUCCUCCCUCGUGGCAGACCUUGCUGAGGAUAACAAUGGUGUGUGCCAAGGAAGGACAAUCACACAGGCCUGCUGCAGAGGAGCCUCACUGUAAAGUGGCUGGGUCAAAGCUGAGUAAGGAAGACUAGAACAGAGUUGGAGCAGCAGCUGGGACCACAUAAUUCAAGGUUUGCCGUCCUGCGUUGAUGUCCUGCAGGUCAGGACAGUUGGCACCCAACGUGGUUGACUCGAGCCUUUGUCUGAGAAGCGAACGCCGCCCUCCGGGGAAGCCUUGGCCAAGCGGGAUUCGGGAUCGCCUCGGUAAACGCGACUGGGAGUCAGAUCCAGGAGGAGAGUGAGGCCGGCGCAAGGAAACGGCACUGUGUAACACCUGGCUGAUAUCCUGUGCCUGUCCCUUCUUCCAGUAGAAGACUGCCUGGAAGUGGUGGCAACCACCUGAAACAGAGCACCAGACAGACUACAGAAAUCUAGGACAGUCUUCCUGGCCAUUAAAUGGGUAAUUCCCACGCCCCUUCCACUGACUCCUGCUUCAGCCAUCACUUUCUGUGGGUAUGUGGCAGACAAGAGAGCCAGGAAGGUCACAUUUUGUUUGUUGCCUCCAUGAUGCUCACUGGAACUCCCACCCAUCCCUAACUAUACAGCCAGGUCAACAUUACCAGCAAGACUUCAUGUCUGUUCUUGAAAGGGUGAGGCCUGGGAUCGCCUAGGACACCCCAACAGCCCACUUUUCUUCAGAAAAGGCUGUCCUGAUCAGAACCAUUACCACCAGGAUCAAGGGCCAUUCCACAGAAGCCCAGGCAGGAGGCAAGGCAGAAAUGAACCCCACUACAAAACCCUGCUGUGCCGCUUCUGAUCUGUAAAGGACCCCGGAUUCAGCUUUGUCUUUCCUUCCUCUCUUCCUUUGUUCCCUUUCCCUCUUCUUCCUUACUUUCUUCUCACUUCAUCCUUUAUGUCUUAAGCAUUUUGAGGUUUUAGCAUCUGUCUAUCAUGACAUUGUGUUGUAUAAAAACUGAUUCAAGA